UGCUGAGGUACUAGCCACCAGCACUUUGUGUUACAACCAUGCAAGCUCCUGCCAGAGGUUCAAAUGAGGGUUUAGUCAGAGCCUGUGACAUCAGUGGUAUUGGCUUUAACACCCUCAGUGGAGGCUUGAGUUUAAUUGCUGCUUACAUGAAGCAAAGCACCAGGGGUAUCCUGACUUUGAGCAUUCUGGUCGUAAAACCCAGAAAAUACUUCUGGACCUGGUAGUUCCAAG